rnacentral:rRNA from 1 species
UACGUAGGGGGCUAGCGUUGUCCGGAUUUAUUGGGCGUAAAGAGCGUGUAGGCGGCCAUGUAGGUCCGGUGUGAAAACUCGAGGCUUAACCUCGAGAUGUCAUCGGAAACCAUUUGGCUAGAGUCCGGAAGAGGAGAGUGGAAUUCCUGGUGUAGCGGUGGAAUGCGCAGAUAUCAGGAGGAACACCGGUGGCGAAGGCGGGAUCCUGGGCCAGUACUGACGCUGAUGAGCGAAAGCGUGGGGAGCAAACAGG